CAUUCCUCUUUGCUUCCGGCACCACAUGAGCAACAAGACGAGUACCGUCCUGGAGUCAACACGGGGCACGUCAGGCUUACGUAAGGGACAAUUAAUUCGGGCAAAAAGGGGACAAGGACCCCAACCGAUCAUGCUUCUACAUACAAGACUUCGAGCGACACUUGGGCGUACGAUGCCUGCUAGCUAAAUAAGCAAAGCAGGGGCGAACAUCUAAGGGUGCUUCAGGUUCCAUGUCGCACUAAACAUUAAGCACGAGAUAGAGUAGGGACCGUGGGACUAGAGAAUUCCAUCAAAAUAAGUAUGCAGCACAGGGGGCCAAGACAAUCCAAGGCAAAAUAUUUAGCACUUGAACAUUAUUGAAUAAGUGUGAACAAGCGGUUGUCGCUGCCGGGACAGGGAACCAACCAACCGGAACAUACCAAUCACCACUCAUGCGCUACACGUACAACAUGCCACCAUCACCCACUAGGUAGAAGCCCCUCAAAGACCCAAAGUCUAAAAAGAACUCGACCAGAGCAAGUGAAAGC
rnacentral:misc_RNA from 1 species